rnacentral:rRNA from 1 species
AGAGUUUGAUCCUGGCUCAGGAUGAACGCUGGCGGCGUGCUUAACACAUGCAAGUCGAACGAGCCUUCGGGCUAGUGGCGGACGGGUGAGUAACGCGUGAGAAUCUGCCCUCAGGAGGGGGAUAACGGCUGGAAACGGCCGCUAAUACCCCAUAUGCCGCGAGGUGAAAUGAGAAAUCGCCUGAGGAUGAGCUCGCGUCUGAUUAGCUAGUUGGUGGGGUAAGAGCCUACCAAGGCAUCGAUCAGUAGCUGGUCUGAGAGGAUGAUCAGCCACACUGGGACUGAGACACGGCCCAGACUCCUACGGGAGGCAGCAGUGGGGAAUUUUCCGCAAUGGGCGCAAGCCUGACGGAGCAACGCCGCGUGAGGGAUGAAGGCCUCUGGGCUGUAAACCUCUUUUCUCAAGGAAGAAGAACUGACGGUACUUGAGGAAUAAGCCACGGCUAAUUCCGUGCCAGCAGCCGCGGUAAUACGGGAGUGGCAAGCGUUAUCCGGAAUUAUUGGGCGUAAAGCGUCCGCAGGCGGUCUUGAAAGUCUGUUGUUAAAGCGUGGAGCUCAACUCCAUUUCAGCAAUGGAAACUAGAAGACUAGAGUGUGGUAGGGGCAGAGGGAAUUCCCGGUGUAGCGGUGAAAUGCGUAGAUAUCGGGAAGAACACCAGUGGCGAAGGCGCUCUGCUGGGCCAUAACUGACGCUCAUGGACGAAAGCCAGGGGAGCGAAAGGGAUUAGAUACCCCUGUAGUCCUGGCCGUAAACGAUGAACACUAGGUGUCGGGGGAAUCGACCCCCUCGGUGUCGUAGCCAACGCGUUAAGUGUUCCGCCUGGGGAGUACGCACGCAAGUGUGAAACUCAAAGGAAUUGACGGGGGCCCGCACAAGCGGUGGAGUAUGUGGUUUAAUUCGAUGCAACGCGAAGAACCUUACCAGGGUUUGACAUCCUGCGAAUCUUUUGGAAACAGAAGAGUGCCUUCGGGAGCGCAGAGACAGGUGGUGCAUGGCUGUCGUCAGCUCGUGUCGUGAGAUGUUGGGUUAAGUCCCGCAACGAGCGCAACCCACGUCUUUAGUUGCCAGCAUUAAGUUGGGCACUCUAGAGAGACCGCCGGUGAUAAACCGGAGGAAGGUGUGGAUGACGUCAAGUCAUCAUGCCCCUUACAUCCUGGGCUACACACGUACUACAAUGCUACGGACAGAGUGCAGCAAACUCGCGAGAGCUAGCAAAUCCCAUAAACCGUGGCUCAGUUCAGAUCGUAGGCUGCAACUCGCCUACGUGAAGGAGGAAUCGCUAGUAAUCGCAGGUCAGCAUACUGCGGUGAAUACGUUCCCGGGCCUUGUACACACCGCCCGUCACACCAUGGAAGUUGGCCAUGCCCGAAGUCGUUACUCCAACCCUUGUGGAGGAGGACGCCGAAGGUGGGGCUGAUGACUGGGGUGAAGUCGUAACAAGGUA